GCCGGCGUGGUGAAACUGGUAGACGCAGUGGACUCAAAAUCCACCGGUAGCAAUACCAUGGGGGUUCGAUUCCCUCCGCCGGCACCA
rnacentral:tRNA from 1 species